rnacentral:rRNA from 1 species
UACGGAGGGUGCGAGCGUUGUCCGGAAUCACUGGGCGUAAAGGGCGUGUAGGCGGUCAGGUAAGUGGAAUGUGAAAGCCCUCGGCUCACCCGAGGAUCUGCAUUCCAAACUGCCUGGCUUGAGUAUGGGAGAGGAUGAGGGAAUUCCUGGUGUAGCGGUGAAAUGCGUAGAUAUCAGGAGGAACACCGGUGGCGAAGGCGCUCAUCUGGCCCAAUACUGACGC